CGGACGCGGCGUGUAUCCUAAAUUUUUUCUCCGCUGCGAACAGCGACUGAGUCCGGGUGACAGGUGGACUAGGAUGGCGUCGCGUCGUUCCAAUUUUGUGGAAACAGAGCCUUGUGUCGUCGAGCCAAGCAUCUUUCUGCUUUACCCCUGGAGUUGAUUAUUGAUAUCAAACAAGAUCUAGUAUCAGUGAAGACAUUUAGAUUUUAAGUGGACUGCUGAUGUCGCUGUUAGACCAGAAGGGUUGAUCUACCAUCUAUCUAUAUUUGACUUUGUAGGUUCAUAAAUUAUUGCUUAUUGUGGCCAGAUGUAGUAGCAGUGAAGACAGUUUUAUUGUAACGGGAUUACAGAUGUCCUAGG